CGAACGCUGGCGGCGCGCCUAAUACAUGCAAGUCGAGCGAGAAGACGUAGCAAUACGUUUGUAAAGCGGCGAACGGGUGAGGAACACAUGGGUAACCUACCCUAGAGUGGGGAAUAACUAGCCGAAAGGUUAGCUAAUACCGCGUACGCUCCUUGGACUUCGGUACAGGGAGGAAAGCGAUACCGUGGGUAUCGCGCUCUUGGAUGGGCUCAUGUCCUAUCAGCUUGUUGGUGAGGUAACGGCUCACCAAGGCUUCGACGGGUAGCUGGUCUGAGAGGACGAUCAGCCACACUGGCACUGCGACACGGGCCAGACUCCUACGGGAGGCAGCAGUAAGGAAUAUUGCGCAAUGGGCGAAAGCCUGACGCAGCGACGCCGCGUGGGGGA
rnacentral:rRNA from 1 species